rnacentral:tRNA from 1 species
GGGGUUGUGGCUCGGCGGUAGAGCGCUCACCUCGAAUGUGCAAGACCCUGGGUUCGAUCCUCAGCACCACA